CCUACGGGUGGCAGCAGUGGGGAAUAUUGCACAAUGGGGGAAACCCUGAUGCAGCGACGUCGCGUGAGUGAUGAAGUAUUUCGGUAUGUAAAGCUCUAUCAGCAGGGAAGAAAAUGACGGUACCUGACUAAGAAGCCCCGGCUAACUACGUGCCAGCAGCAGCGGUAAUACGUAGGUGGCAAGCGUUAUCCGGAUUUACUGGGUGUAAAGGGCGUGUAGCCGGGCUUACAAGUCAGAUGUGAAAUCCCGUGGCUCAACCACGGAACUGCCUUUGAAACUGUCGGUCUUGAGUAUCGGAGAGGCAGGCGGAAUUCGUAGUGUAGCGGUGAAAUGCGUAGAUAUUAGGCGGAACACCAGUGGCGAAGGCGGCCUGCUGGACGACAACUGACGGUGAGGCGCGAAAGCGUGGGGAGCAAACAGGAUUAGAUACCCGUGUAGUC
rnacentral:rRNA from 1 species